GGCUGGUUCUCAUAUUUUGGUUCAAGGAAUUUUUCAAUCUACAACGGCUGCUAGCCAGUGGUUGAAAGAUUGUCUACCAAAUAUGUGUACUGCAAUGAUUAUCUUCAUUCAGAGGUUCAGAUAGAUGGAGCCUGACACUCUCCACCCUCAAGAACCACUUCGGUGCCGCCACACCCGGCAGCGACAAGUUCGGUGGC